AUUGAACGCUGGCGGCAUGCUUUACACAUGCAAGUCGAACGGCAGCGCGGGCUUCGGCCUGGCGGCGAGUGGCGAACGGGUGAGUAAUACAUCGGAACGUGCCCAGUCGUGGGGGAUAGCCCGGCGAAAGCCGGAUUAAUACCGCAUACGACCUGAGGGUGAAAGCGGGGGAUCUUCGGACCUCGCGCUAUUGGAGCGGCCGAUGGCCGAUUAGCUAGUUGGUGGGGUAAAGGCCUACCAAGGCGACGAUCUGUAGCUGGUCUGAGAGGACGACCAGCCACACUGGGACUGAGACACGGCCCAGACUCCUACGGGAGGCAGCAGUGGGGAAUGUUGGACAAUGGGCGAAAGCCUGAUCCAGCAAUGCCGCGUGUGUGAUGAAGGCCUUCGGGUUGUAAAGCACUUUUGGCGGGAACGAAAAGGACUGUGCCAAUACCACGGUUCGAUGACGGUACCCGCAGAAUAAGCGCCGGCUAACUACGUG
rnacentral:rRNA from 1 species